rfam:Scytonema hofmannii PCC 7110 genomic scaffold Scaffold1, whole genome shotgun sequence.
UGGUAGAUGCACCCUAAUUACCGCCCUCAGUCUGUGGCUGAGGGUUUUUUUA